GGGCCUGUAGCUCAGUUGGUUAGAGCAGCGGACUCAUAAUCCGUUGGUCGGAGGUUCGAGUCCUCCCGGGCCCACCA
rnacentral:tRNA from 6 species